rnacentral:rRNA from 1 species
UACGUAGGGGGCAAGCGUUGUCCGGAUUUAUUGGGCGUAAAGAGCGUGUAGGCGGCUAGACAGGUCCGCUGUGAAAACUCGAGGCUCAACCUCGAGACGUCGGUGGAAACCGUCUGGCUAGAGUCCGGAAGAGGAGAGUGGAAUUCCCGGUGUAGCGGUGAAAUGCGCAGAUAUCGGGAAGAACACCCGUGGCGAAGGCGGCUCUCUGGGACGGUACUGACGCGUGAGACGCGAAAGCGUGGGGAGCGAACGAGG